GCCGUUGGGACUCUUGAAGUCUUAGUGGCGCAGCUAACGCACUAAGUUGACCGCCUGGGGAGUACGGCCGCAAGGUUAAAACUCAAAUGAAUUGACGGGGGCCCGCACAAGCGGUGGAGCAUGUGGUUUAAUUCGACGCAACGCGAAGAACCUUACCUGGCCUUGACAUGCAGAGAACUUUCCAGAGAUGGAUUGGUGCCUUCGGGAACUCUGACACAGGUGCUGCAUGGCCGUCGUCAGCUCGUGUCGUGAGAUGUUGGGUUAAGUCCCGUAACGAGCGCAACCCCUAUCCCUAGUUGCUAGCAGUUCGGCUGAGAACUCUAGGGAGACUGCCGGUGACAAACCGGAGGAAGGUGGGGAUGACGUCAGGUCAUCAUGGCCCUUACGGCCAGGGCUACACACGUGCUACAAUGGUGCGUACAGAGGGCUGCAAACCCGCGAGGGGGAGCUAAUCUCACAAAACGCAUCGUAGUCCGGAUCGGAGUCUGCAACUCGACUCCGUGAAGUCGGAAUCGCUAGUAAUCGCGAAUCAGAAUGUCGCGGUGAAUACGUUCCCGGGCCUUGUACACACCGCCCGUCACACCAUGGGAGUGGAUUGCACCAGAAGUGGUUAGUCUAACCUUCGGGAGGACGAU
rnacentral:rRNA from 1 species